UCGGAAAAGAGUUAGUCACUCAUCUGUAGUGGGUCUUUGAGUGUGGCAGGCAAAUGCUAUCUUUAAGCUUAGACAGCAAGGCAAGGGGACUGUAAACCAAACGAGUUGAAGAAAUAUGGAGCAUCAAAAAACUUAUAAAUGAGAAAACUGAUGAGUUUAUGCUUUAGUAAGCAAGAUUGUCUUUUCCGACAAAUAGCGAGGAGAAGUCAAUUUCCCCGGAGUCUGAGAC
rnacentral:ncRNA from 1 species